ensembl:lincRNA Gm3289 predicted gene 3289
GAACUCUGUCUAUCUGCUAGGGCACCUGCCCCACACCAUUUACUGUGCCUCUUUGACUUUGCCAUCUGCCUUCCUGCCGAGAGAUUUCCAUGUCGGGCGGGCUUGCCAGUGAAUUCCCCUCAUACUCCGUUCCGCUUGGCUGCCUGAAUUUACACUGCCUUUUGAUGAAUCUUUGCUGGAGUUCCAGUCACACUCUAAUUGAUUGGUCUAGAUGUGAGGUUCUGGCCAUCCUCAUCUGCUUCCAUAGCUGAGCGAAAUGGGGCUGUCUGUGACAGCUCAGUGUGCCGCAGAUUGGGCCUGGGCAUCCAUAUUGACUCUCAUGGUCUUGACCUCCGUACCAACCAAUUUAGAGCACGUCUCCUUGUCACUUUGGCCACACAGCAGACAGGUGAUGAUGGAUACAGACCACAGCUGCAUGUUGCCCCGAAGAUUCCGAUUAUUAGUUUUUCUCAAAGAUGUUGCUUGGAUCUAAGGUAACACAAUUUUUGGUGAGUUUUUUUUUUUUUGGUGUUUUUUUUUUUUUUUUUUUUUUUUUUUUCCUAUUUGACGAGGAAACAAAUGGUCACAGCAACAUAUACUACUGUGAGGGAUAAAACCUAAUCUUUUAUGGGAGCAACAUGAGCCAGCAAUUUUAAUUUUUAAGUGUGAAAAUGUCUUACUUCUGAAAUAGAAGAUAGGUUUGGAGCUAUGCUUUGUGAUUCUUGUGAUGUGGUUCCUGUGGUACCCUACUGAAUCUCUAG